rnacentral:pre_miRNA from 1 species
GUGAACUAUGUCGCGACGAGAUAGGACCCGCGCAAUUCCCGAACGGGUAGAAGAACCGGAUCUAAAAAUGCGCGGGUCGGGUUCUUCCACCCGUUCUGGAAUUGCGCGGGUUCCUGUCCCCACAAGCAACGAAAA